GGGUGCGUAGCUCAGUGGAUUAGAGUUUCAGAUUCCGAUUCUGAAUGUCGAAGGUUCAAUUCCUUCCGCACUCA
rnacentral:tRNA from 1 species